rnacentral:rRNA from 1 species
CCCUUAGAUGUUCUGGGCCGCACGCGCGUUACACUGAUGCAUUCAACAAGUUCUUUCACCUUGGCCGAGAGGCCUGGGCAAUCUUUGAACGUGCAUCGUGAUAGGGAUAGAUUAUUGCAAUUAUUAAUCUUGAACGAGGAAUUCCUAGUAAACGCAGAUCAUCAAUCUGCAUUGAUUACGUCCCUGCCCUUUGUACACACCGCCCGUCGCACCUACCGAUUGAAUGGUCCGGUGAAGCCUCGGGAUUGCGGCUGGUUCCCUUUAUUGGGGAUCGGUUGCGAGAACUUGUCUAAACCUUAUCAUUUAGAGGAAGGUGAAGUCGUAACA